CGGGGAAACUGCGGAGGGCAACCGUGCGCGGCGGAGGCGGAGCAAAUAUGCUCUCCCCGCUCGACCCUGCCGGCCGCCACGUGGGGCGCUGCGGAGACCAGUCGGCCCACAGCGCUGGGGCGCCUAGCCGGGGCGCCGGGCGACCGGACGCGUCGUCGCCGCUACCGGGGCCUCGGACUCCUUCGACCUCGUCGGCUGUCGCUUUUCUGUCGUACGCCCUGCGCCUUCACGCUUCGCUGUCAAUCCGAGCGCACUCCCAGCACCCCGCGCACAGGGGUGCACGCACGCUCAGCGUGUUUUGCACGGUGUGUACACAUUUGACGUGCUCCAGCUGAAGGCCCCGACGCCGCCCGUGAAAGCUGCGGCCCAGGCGACCUCCGCCACGAGCUUCCCCUCCUCUCGGCUGGUCAUCCCUCCUCGCGCACGGAAGUGCGUCGGGGGAAGAAAAGCGCCUCCAUUCGGUAGGCAAACCGCCCGGCAGUUCACCAGAAAGGAAAACUUUCACCACCACCCUGGGAGGGCUGAAUAAUAUUAUGUUGUCCGGAUGUACCAAAGUUUAUUUAUCCAUCUACCUACUGAAGGACAUCUUGGAUGCUUCCAAGUUUUGGCAAUAAAAAUAAGCUUCUGUAAACAUCCAGGUGCAAAUUUUUACAUGGACAUAAGUUUUCAACUCAUUUGGAUGAAUUCUAAGGACCAUAAUUUCUGGAUUGUAUGGAGUGAAGAAAGCUCUGGAAGGAAUGUGGAACAGUGAAAGAAGAGAAAAGCUUUACCUUGAUAGAAUCAGGACCACCAACGGACCUUUUCUGUCUCUAGCUUGGAACCUGGGAUCAGAAAGGUCAAGUAAAGCAAAUCAAACACCACAACAUACCUUCAGGAGAGCACACUGCAGGAAGUUCAGAGAGGAUAACUAAUGCAGCGGAAACCAACCUACUUCCAUCUUCUGACAGCAUCUGUGGCUUUGUAGCUUUUACUCCUGGGCUACCUGUCAAUUUAGGAUUUAGCUCUGGGAGCUGUCUAACUAGAAUGCAUACACACAAUUCCAGUGUUGCAAAGACCAAAGAUUUCCCAGGCACAAGUCCUCCUGUGUCCUUUCCCUCUCCAAAUUCUGGCAAGGUUUCCUUUUCAGCAGCCCCAUCAUCAACUAAAAGACAAAAAGAACAAUGUUGAAUAAAUGCUUCAGGUUUGUUUUGCUUCUGGUAGAUGGCAGUUUAGUUCAUUUCCGUUGUAGGUAACACAUUUAAAUGGGUGAAGUCUUGGGUCUUAAAGAAUGAAAGAGAAAGUUAUGGAGGUAAAAGUAGUUGUCUUUAUGUGGACUUCUUAUUGCAAUGGAUCAAAAGAAAUCCUCGGUGACCUUCUCAGCCUUAAAAUAUUGUCUGGUUAACUCCUUGCUGUUAAGGUGUGAACCUGAUAGCUAGAGCUCCAGCACUGACCUUACCACCUUAAUAUUGGUAGUGGCUGGGCAGAAAGAUAGGAACUGAGGUCCCUGAUGUCUUUAAGAAGCUGCCAUCUCAGCCCAGGACUGCCAACUUCUGGACUUCUUUUAGAUGAGAGAAUAAGUCCUCGUGUUUUAAAUCUACUGUUGUAUUGGAUUUUCUGUUAUAGGUAGUCAAAUGUAAUCUUAAGUGAUAAACUCACCAAUACCAAAUUUGACUUGUAAAUGAACAAUUUAAUCACUUUGCAAAACUUAAGUUAUUAAAGAAUUGUCAGUAGUUCUUUCCAAGUACAUUGGUAAACACUUAAAAGUAGGUACUCAAUCAGUAUAAAGAAUUUUUUUUCCUUCCAGGGCUGUUAAAAUUCUAAUUUUCCCAAGGAAUAGUAGUUUAGCUACUGACAACAUCCAAGCUAACACGUAGAGGUGCAUGAGAGGAUUUGGAAGCCAUACCUAGAGGUUUGUACUAUACACAAUAAAUUCUCAGAACGACAUAGACACAUAAGCAAUACUUAAAAAAAUAAUGAUGCCGUGUGAUUGAUUUGGCAUUAUAGGAACAUUCACCUUCUGCACUUCGUCUUUUCUCCUUCACAUGUUCUUGAGCUGCACAGAUAAUCUGCCUUACCACUUCAAGAGAAGCCAGCUGAAUGGAAGGUGAUUCUCGGGUCAAAAUUACUCGAUGUAGUACAUUCAACAACUCGAUACCCAAGUCCUAUCACAGAAAACAGGUUUUUUUGGCUACUAUGCAUGUGGGAUCUUAGCUCCCCAACCAGGGAUCAAACCUGCACCCCCUGCAUUGGAAGGCGAAGUCUUAACCACUGGAUCACCAAGGGAGCUGGCAGGCAAAUUCUGAAGGCAAAGUUAGGAGAGCAAAAUCCUGAAGCGCAGCAAGCCAGAGCCUACUUAAUGUGCCAAGAUCUGCGUGGACUAAGUCUAGCAGCCCGUCUGAUGAAAUCGACCCGUUUCCGACACUCUCUUCUGAACAGAUGUGAUGGAGCCUGCUAACCAACUGGUGAACUGCUCUGGAUUCCCUAACUGCCAGCCAUCAGAAGCUGCCUUUGAAUCAUGAGAGUACGCGGGCCUCUCACUGUUGUGGCCUCUCCCGUUGCGGAGCACAGGCUCCGGACGCGCAGGCUCAGCGGCCAUGGCUCACGGGCCCAGCCGCUCCAUGGCAUGUGGGAUCUUCCCAGACCGGGGCACGAACCCGUGUCCCCUGCAUCGGCAGGCGGACUCUCAACCACUGCGCCACCAGGGAAGCCCGUAACUACCUUAUUAGUGUGACCAAAUUCUCAGAACAAUUACAGAAUUGGAUUCAUGGGCUAUCGCAUGUUCUCUUGCCUAUCCUUAUACUGUAGAAAAUUUUUUUUCUGAAGAUAGAUGGGAAUGAUUUUGGGAAAAGCCAGACUCAUUCAGAGUUUAGCGUGAAAGCUGAUCAAAUUGGCUUAUCCUACUUAAGGUUCAUAAAUUGGUCUUGAAGAGAAUUUCAAAUAAAGACAUCUGAAAACAUUCUAAGGAUUGGAGUAAAUAAGUAUAUGGCUUCCUAAGGUGACUGCUAGGAGAAAAACGUUUAUGUGGAUAUUUAAAUUCUGGUAUACAUUAAGUUACUCUUGUCAAAUCAUACAUUAGAAUAUUUAUGCUCAGAAAACACCAAGCAGUCUGUAGUUAUGUAAACCCUCCACAAGACUUACCUAAGGUCAUCAGGGCAGCAAUCAACAACCAUCCAGCUUGUGUGCGCUGAGCUGAAAGGCGACUGUUUUGAGCAGCAGAACAUAGCAAAUCCUCUGCUAAUGUCAUAAUAAUCUAUUGACG